CAAAAAUUAGUUAAUUAAAUAAUAUAGGAUUGUCAAUCCUAAGUCGUCUUAGGACAUUUUUGA
rnacentral:tRNA from 1 species